GACGAACGCUGGCGGCGUGCUUAACACAUGCAAGUCGAACGGAAAGGCCCUGCUUUUGUGGGGUGCUCGAGUGGCGAACGGGUGAGUAACACGUGAGUAACCUGCCCUUGACUUUGGGAUAACUUCAGGAAACUGGGGCUAAUACCGGAUAGGAGCUCCUGCUGCAUGGUGGGGGUUGGAAAGUUGCGGCGGGUGGGGCUGGACUCGCGGCUUAUCGGCUUGUUGGUGGGGUAGUGGCUUACCCAGGGUUUGACGGGUAGCCGGCAGGGGAGGGGGACCGGCCACAUUGGGACUGAGAUACGGCCCAGACUGCUACGUGAGGCAGCGGUGGGGAAUAUUGCACAAUGGGCGGAAGCCUGAUGCAGCAGCGCCGCGUGCGGGAUGACGGCCUUCGGGUUGUAAACCGCUUUCGCCUGUGACGAAGCGUUAGUGACGGUAAUGGGUAAAGAAGCACCGGCUAACUACGUG
rnacentral:rRNA from 1 species